CUGAAUCCUAAGGGCUUUCAUUUGUCCUUCAUCCCGCGUGGGAAAAGUUGGCCUGAGCCCAUCUUCCUGCAGUCCCUCAGGCUCUCGGAUCCGGGAAGGCAGUGAGCGGGGCUCUGCCCUGCCGAAGGCUGAUUUGCUGGGGAACAAACUGGUGGUGUGUGUGUGUGAGGGAGCGAUACCCGCGCCGUGACAAAUUGCAGAAACCAUAGGAAAUUCAUCAGGCUCUCUACUACUGGCUCAGCAGCAUCAGAAUUGUUUUCACUGUCUGGUAAUUAGGCAAAACACAGCCUUGUUUUCCUCCUUUGCAACCUUGUAGUGGCUGGUGCAUCAAAGCAAGGGCACAUUGCCCAGCACAAGGAGCUCUCACCCUCGAGCAGUUUCAUAUCCAGAGGGCUGGAUUCAGCCAAGGGGAAAUCAGAUCUGCAAAAAGUGUCCUCUAAGCUCUUGCAUGGUUACAGUGGAUUGCUGCAGUUGCAGUUCUUGUGCAGGAUACAUCUUGAUAUAUCCGCAGAAGUUCUGGGAGAAGAAAUCCUGAUAGCAGAAAGUUGGGUGGAGGCUUCAGAAGUUGACCUAAUGCUGCUAAUUGCCACGCAUGCUUUAACUAACAUAGACUUCACCAGGAGCAUCUACCCCAAGGUGCAUCAAAGGAGCCUGAUAUCAGACCUGGAUUAACAUCAGAAUAAAGGUUUUCUGAGGAAAAGAAGUAAGAGAGGGUGAGAGAUUUAUCUGGGCAGGAGAAGGCACUCCCAAUGCUUUGGGAUGUAACGUGGUUCUUCUCUUGAAGGCUCCAGAGUCAUUGAGGUCAACUCGAACGCAUCACGCUGGUAAAGGCCACCUCCUUACUACUAUUGUUUGUUCUCAGAGACAAACUGUAUGCAUUAAGCAAAGCAAAGUUAGGUUGAAGUCUGCUGCCUGGGCCUUGGGCUCGGCAAUCACUGUGUAUGGGAUGGGGCCUUGGGUUCAGCAGAGCAUUGCCUCUCUCAGUAUUUGGCUACAAACAGGCAACCACCGUCUGUCUUUUCAUAGGGCUGCUUUUCUGCUAACACCUUCAAAUCCUGAUGGGCUUCUCAAGACCUUUCCAGCUCUGCUGGCCUCACGUUGGGCUGUCUGUGCCCAGCUCAGGCAGUGGCUGCUUCAGGAUUUGCAUGCAGUUUUGGUUGAGGGUGAUAUUUCUUCCUCUCCAAAAAUCCCC
ensembl:lncRNA